UCCCUCCGAAUUUGCAGUUUUGUUUAUUCUAACCUUACAGAAGACUUUCCUUGACGGCCAUUUGCACCAGUCCACAAAAUAUCCCUUCUAUGGGGUAUGUUCUGUGCACCAGUCUUCCUUAAAACUUAUUCUUAGCUAGGGAUAACUUUGGAUUAAGGUUAACCCUAACUACAGACAGCUUUGCACCAGGAUAAAAUGAAUACAAGAUUAGCACAGUUGCCAGUUGUGCAAUAAAGUAUAGCGUUAGCUGAAAAUGUAUCCUUGCAGAAAUAGUACAUUACGAUUCAAGAGACGGAAGUCCAAACAAUGACCCAAUGUUAAUUUCCUAUUAUUUACGACGGAAUAUGCGGUUUGUGGUGCCGCGGAUGAUAUGUAAAUUUUAAUACAAAUGAAAUUACUGCA